AAACAUGUCUGGAAGAAAGAUAUUUUUGGUUUUUACUGCUCAAUGCUAAGUUAAUAGCUGCAGUAUACUGACUGUACAAAGGUAGCAUAAUCACUAGUUUUUUGAUUGGAAACUUGUAUGAAUGUAUUGACGUAAAAUUUACUUUAUUAUUUAAAUUUGAAUUUAAUUUUUAAGUAAAAAAGCUUAAUUAAAUUAAAGGGACGAGAAGACCCUAUAGAAUUUUAUAUAUAUUUUUUGUUGGGGUAACGAAAAUUAACUUUUUUUAUUUACACUAUUGAGUGGUAAGGGAUCUUAAUAUUAGAUGAUAAGAAUAAAUUACCUUAGGGAUAACAGCAUAAUUUUUUUUGAAAGAUCUUAUUAAUAAUUAAGAUUAUGACCUCGAUGUUGAAUUAAAUUUAAAUUAGGUGUAGCAGUUUAGUG
rnacentral:rRNA from 1 species